GGAUGGACCUGCGAUGCAUUAGCUAGUUGGUAAGGUAACGGCUUACCCAAGGCGAUGAUGCAUAGCCCGAGUUGAGAGACUGAUCGGGCCACAUUGGGGACUGAGGACACGGGGCCCAAAACUCCGUACGGGGGGAGGGGCAGCAGGGUAGGGGGAAUCUUCCACAAUGGAACGAAAGUCUGAUGGAGCAACGCCGCGUGAGUGAAGUAAGGUUUUCGGAUCGUAAAGCUCUGUUGUUGGUGAAGAAGGAUAGAGGUAGUAACUGGCCUUUAUUUGACGGUAAUCAACCAGAAAGUCACGGCUAACUACGUGCCAGCAGCCGCGGUAAU
rnacentral:rRNA from 1 species